ACACGUAGUUCUUCUUUAACUUUGGUCCUGCAUGUCUCACUAUCUCUUCCCUCACUUUAUUAUAAGCCUCAUCCACCAAGUACGUGAACUCGGAACCUGAAUCGAUCAUUGUUUGACCUGAUCCACUCCGAUCAGGCCGGAAAACUGACGCGGGGAUGUUUAAUCUCAUGUUGCCGAUUCUUAUUCCUUGCAUUGGAACACUGUAUGCUGAGGCGUCCAAGUUUGGUAACGUUGUUUGACUUUGAGUAAAAGUCAGAAGGCUAAUGUAUUGAAACCCGCCCGAAUUCGGAUUUUCUCCCAGAUAAAAUGACCCGGUUGAUGACAAUCCGGCCUGAGAUUGAC
rnacentral:misc_RNA from 1 species